GAAGGGAAUUUGGACGCCUUAGUCCAUGGUCUAAGGCGAGCUCGACGCCUCGCCGUCUUUGGGCGCUCUGACGCCUAGGCAACGCUUCCGGGACGCCUUAAAAACAAUGCUAGGGUUCCUCACCUAACCCUUCAUCUCCCACCUCCGUCGCCUCUAGUGGCCCACCUUGUAGCCAAGAGCUCUUGCCGAGAUCCCUCCAAUCUCCGGCAGACACACAAUGUAAUAC
rnacentral:lncRNA from 1 species